rnacentral:rRNA from 1 species
AGAACGAACGCUGGCGGCAUGCCUAAUACAUGCAAGUCGAACGAACACUUCGGUGUUAGUGGCGCACGGGUGCGUAACGCGUGGGAAUCUGCCCUUGGGUUCGGAAUAACAGUUGGAAACGACUGCUAAUACCGGAUGAUAUCGAAAGAUCAAAGAUUUAUCGCCCAGGGAUGAGCCCGCGUAGGAUUAGCUAGUUGGUGAGGUAAAGGCUCACCAAGGCGACGAUCCUUAGCUGGUCUGAGAGGAUGAUCAGCCACACUGGGACUGAGACACGGCCCAGACUCCUACGGGAGGCAGCAGUAGGGAAUAUUGGACAAUGGGCGCAAGCCUGAUCCAGCAAUGCCGCGUGAGUGAUGAAGGCCUUAGGGUUGUAAAGCUCUUUUACCCGAGAUGAUAAUGACAGUAUCGGAGAAUAAGCCCCGGCUAACCUCCGUCGCCAGCAGCCGC